ACCUAAGUUGGAGGUUUUGCCCCAAUGGCUCCAAGGAUUUGCAAACACUUUACAGCAGCUCGUGAUUGGAGAAUGUGAAAAUUUGAAGGCUUUGCCGUAGUGGCUGCCACAUCUGAAAUCACUUCAGAUUGACGAAUGCCCUAAGUUGUCAUCUCUCCCGGAGGGGAUGGAAGCUCUCACUACACUAAGACAAUUGGAGAUCACAGAUUGUCCUGAUUUGAGUAGAAAAUGCAGAGAAGAAGAUUCGCACAAGAUUGCUCGUGUGCCAAAGAUUGAACUCGACGAGGAUAGUUGAAGUUCAUCGUCAUCAUCAGAAGAAGAGGAGUUCAACUUUGGUCACAUCCAAUAGAAUAUGAACAUUGCUCAAUUCAAAGUCACAAAUUCCUUCCAGAAUUCGUAAGCAUUCCUUCAAUGCAAUUUGGAUUAGAAGAUGUAAAUAAAUAAAUACUUAUGUUAUUUAAUUUGCUUUCAAGUGAUGUAAUUAAAUAAAUAUAGCACUAAAUGAUGUAAAUAAAUAAACAUAUAUGUCAUUGUAAUUUCAUGUAAGAGAUAUAAAUAAAUAAAUAAGUGAUGUGUAUACUCCCUUGACUACA